UACGAAGGGAGCUAGCGUUGUUCGGAAUUACUGGGCGUAAAGCGAGCGUAGGCGGUUUAGAAAGUCAGAGGUGAAAUCCCGGGGCCCAACCCCGGAACUGCCUUUGAAACUCCUGAACUAGAGUCUGUGAGAGGGUGGCGGAAUACCCAGUGUAGAGGUGAAAUUCGUAGAUAUUGGGUAGAACACCGGUGGCGAAGGCGGCCACCUGGCACAGUACUGACGCUGAGGUUCGAAAGUGUGGGGAGCAAACAGG
rnacentral:rRNA from 1 species